GAAGAAGAAGAUUGCUUUAGACGACAAAAAAGGAAUAUAGUAGUAUCAUAUUUAUUGGUCUACUUAGAUUCUUUUUUUUUUUUUUUUUCUGAAUAUUGGUCUACUUAGAUUCAGUUAUAUAUAUUCACACAGUUGACAAACAACGUCGGUUUCUCUUUUGGGUAACCAACGAAGGUCGUUCUGCUAACGUUUUGAGGGGCUCUCGUUGAUGGGUUCUGCUUAGCUUAUCUCCUGUGUCUGUUCCCAUUUUUUAAAAAAGUAUCAUGAUGGGAAUAGUAUUGAAGAUGAUGAUGAUGAUUUGUUCACUAAGCCCCUUGGAAGACGGUCUGUCAUUUAUUAUGGCAUGGGUCACAUGCUCAAUGAUAUCACUGUUGCCUGUUGGUUCACUUACCUCUUAUUGUUCUUGACAGAUAUUGGACUUUCUCCAAAGGAAGUUGCUAUGGUUAUGCUUUCAGGUCAAGUAGCUGAUGGAUUUACAACCAUAUUGGCUGGUGAACUGGGUCUUUACCACAACUCCAGCAGUUCGAUAGGACUAACUCUCUUUCAUUUCACGGGAUGGCAAUAAGGCUGUGCAUGGACUAGCUCAAUAUGCUAGAGGUCUUUCAAACUUUAGUGCUUGGAUAGAUGAGACACUAUUUAUUAUUGAGCAUUUGGUUACUCAAGACGUACUGUUUUUUUCCUCGUCUGAAUAAAUAAAAAGUGAAUGAUAAAGUUAGGUAGGAUAGGAUAUCACAAGCAUGAUAAAAAUUAUCUCCAGUGUAUUGCUUUUGAGUUUUAAGUAUAUAUAGGCACUUGUCUAGCUUCCUUGCAUCUUUAUAAUUUUUUUAUUUUUUCGAAACAUAAAUCUCUUGUGCUUAGUUUUUUUCUUUUAGGGAGGUUUUAUACAUCCAGGGACUAUAUUCUAACGAAAAGAUCGAAGUAUUCAACAAAGCUAUGCAAUGGCAGAUGCAGCCAAAGACAGAAUAGUGUGCAAAGCAACAGGUAGGGCUGGCUACAUGUCCGCCUUGCGUUGGUGGUCAAGCAAAAGCACCUACAUCCAGACUGUGGCACUAGUCUCAAACAAGUCCAAGGAAAACAAGAAGUGUUUGUGUGCAACUCUUGCUUUGGGACUACAAAUUAAUGCAACUCUUGCUUUGGGCCUGCCUUCAGUUUGCCAUGCCUCUGCUUAAAUAGAAAACUAUUUAAAUUUGUGGUAAUUUCUUUGGCUACAGGUGGAGGGAGUUCCACGAGUGCCAAAAUUGAGGGGACUAGUGGUUAGGACUAGAGAUAGUUUGUAAUGGAAAUUGUCAUUGGUGGGGCCCUUACAUGGUGUUUCUUCAGUUCACAGCUGUUCCUAUUUUUUUUGCUGAAUAGUUCACACCUGUUCCUAUAAGCACUUGGAUUGUCACUCCUCAAUAACUUGGCCUUGAUUGCUAUUUCUGUUUUGUAAUUGUUAUACUCGGUGUUAUGGUUU